UACGAAGGGGGCUAGCGUUGCUCGGAAUUACUGGGCGUAAAGGGCGCGUAGGCGGUUGUGUAAGUUGGGGGUGAAAUCCCGGGGCUCAACCUCGGAACCGCCUUCAAUACUGGAUAUCUUGAGUUCGGGAGAGGUGAGUGGAAUGCCGAGUGUAGAGGUGAAAUUCGUAGAUAUUCGGCGGAACACCAGUGGCGAAGGCGACUCACUGGCCCGAUACUGACGCUGAGGCGCGAAAGCGUGGGGAGCAAACAGG
rnacentral:rRNA from 1 species